UGCCAGCAGCCGCGGUAAUACGAAGGGUGCAAGCGUUAAUCGGAAUUACUGGGCGUAAAGGGUGCGUAGGCGGUUGUUUAAGUCUGUUGUGAAAUCCCCGGGCUCAACCUGGGAAUGGCAAUGGAUACUGGACAGCUAGAGUGUGUCAGAGGAUGGUGGAAUUUCCGGUGUAGCGGUGAAAUGCGUAGAGAUCGGAAGGAACAUCAGUGGCGAAGGCGGCCAUCUGGGACAACACUGACGCUGAAGCACGAAAGCGUGGGGAGCAAACAGGAUUAGAUACCCUGGUAGUCCACGCCCUAAACGAUGCGAACUGGAUGUUGGUCUCAACUCGGAGAUCAGUGUCGAAGCUAACGCGUUAAGUUCGCCGCCUGGGGAGUACGGUCGCAAGACUGAAACUCAAAGGAAUUGACGGGGGC
rnacentral:rRNA from 1 species